UGCGAAACGAAAAUCGGAUCGGCUUAAGCAGCUCCGAUUGCUCACUCAAUGGAUUAUGCGUCACGUAUCAUCAAUCCUCCCAAGAAACCAAGUAGUAAGAGAUUUAUGAUCACCCUGGAAUCAUUUGUGAUCUAUGGGGUCACCGGCGUUGAUUGAGAUGUAAUUUGAAGGAUGUUUCCAUCUUAUUACGGCGUGAGCAAGCUUCAACAAUCCGCUACUUUUCCACCACUAACUGGGCUAUUAUAAACAGACAAGGUAGUGUUAUCCUCCUCCUCUAUUGGAACAUUUUUGUCCAAUUUUUAGUGCUUGUGAGGCUCUCUGUCUCUGCUUGGCGCUUCAGCUUGUUAUCCUCCUCCUCUAUUGGAACAUUUUUGUCCACUAACUGGGCUCUCUGUCCGUCACCAAGUUUCACGAGGAUCAAGGAUUUUGAAACCUCUUUGACUGUAUAAUUAUGACAAGUCACAGCCUCACGUUUGGCAUUCUCAAAGCAAACUAUCCCUCACUAUUAUUCAUCUGUUGACAAACUUAUGGGUCUGAGGAGUCAGCUCAAUUCAUUCCGAGAGGCUUCUGGUGGAAAACGGAUACCUGUCAAUGAUCUUGUUGUUAAGGCGUUUCAGGCUGCGAGCUGCAAUAGUUCAUGGACUGAUGAUUACAUCCGCCAGUUUCAAAACGCAGAGAGAAAAUGGGCUCUAUGUUCCUGUGGUGAAGGACGCAGAAAGGUCUGUCUACAAUUGGAGAAGAAGUUCGGUUAUUGGCUCAAAUGGCAAAAGAGAACAGCAGUUUACAGUCUCUAAAUUGGCUUGGACCUUUUGGAAUCAAGCAAUUCUGUGCAGUGGUUUAUCCCCCUCAAGCAGCCAUUCUAGCAGUUGGAUCUGCAGCUGAAAAGAGAGUUGUCCGUGGCAACUGUGACCAUCGCGUGGUAGACAGUGCCAUUGGAGCUGAAUGGUUGAAAACAUUCAAGGGGAUAUAUCAUCGAGCACCCUGAAUCUAUGUUGCGCUAAUCAGACAAAGAAUCAUACACUGACAAAACACACAUUAAAGCUCAUAAAGAGUCUCUGAAUCUGUCAUUUCUCACUUUGGAUUUUUUACUUUAAAUCUCUGUAUUUUUUUGGGAGAGUUAAAACAGAUUUUAUUUCGUUAAUUUAAACUCCAUUAUUUAUUUUGUUAA